UUUUUUCACGUCAACAACGAUGCAUUAGAAAGAGAUCGGGUGGCCUUUAAAAAAAAUAUAAUUUGGUACAUCCUUGGCCCAAAACAUAUUUUGUCUCAAACCUUCUGAUACUCUCCCUAACAACUCUUCCACUUCGUCUUCUCCAAUCGAUGAGUUUGAGUUUGAGUUUGCAUUACCUUGAGCCAUUUCUGAUCAAUCAAUGAUCUUUAAACUCUUCUGCAAUUUUUCGUUCUAUCUCCCGAUGAUUCUUCAUCCUUCAAAUCCAGACGUUUCAUGAUUUUAUCACCCACUUUCUAUAAAUUUAGGGCCAUACCCACGAAUCCUCACUACACCAAACCAAGUUCUCUGCAGUUUUUACUUUUCAACUCCCAUUUUCCGUCAUGGCUAACCUCGAUUUUGUCUUCCUACUUUACACUCGAUAAUCAGCAUCUCUACCGUUUUCUCAAGAGGUUGUCCAGCCGACUCAUCCAUCAUUGGGAUUAUUAGGUUCUGAUUGCAUCGCUUCCAAACAAAAAACUGAGGAGCUGGAGGAGGAACUGAAUCUUCUCAAGAAUCACUCUCAGCCAAAUAGAGUUGUAAGCAACAAAAGCUUUCUGUAUUUCUUACAAUGUCAGAAAUCUGUGUGUAUUGUGGACUAAUGGCCCAACAGAGAGAAAGACAAGGUUUUCCUAUAAGCAGCUAUUCAUCUGUCUCUGUGAGUCUCCUCUUUUCAUGUACGAUGGGAGAACAGUUUUCUCGGAUGAUCUUCUAAAGCUUUGACGUCUUCUUAUUUAUAUCAAACAUCACCGACUUGUGUUUGUAUAAUUUCCUUUUUCCAUUAGUCUAAUGACUUCUAAUGACUUCACGUCUUCUUGUAAUAAUGGAAACAUUCCCACAGACUAAUCCACCUCCUUUGUUUGCUGGACAGAUUUGAUUGGGCUAGGAUGAGAGAAUUAAGGCCCAUUAGUACCACAAACUCCACCUUGGGCUUAAUUCUUUUUUCACGUGACUUCUCCUUCUUCGUUGAAGCCAACGAUCAGAAAACUCAUGUAUCUCAACCUUCGCCACUGUCGUAACAAACUUCUCGAACAGACCAUCACCAUCUCUUAUCACAACUGUCGAGCCCUAAUCUAUCCUUUCUAAGAGCAACAAAACCUGCAAAUAUAUAUGCUCCAGUGGUUACGUUGCCAUCUACCUCCGGGAAACGCCUCCAGCUUUGGUUCAGACGGCGAGAGAGAUUCGCGACUCUCACUCACGCCUCCGAUCCAAAUUUUCCUGUUGGAUUUUGACUCACACGUAAAUCCCGACCUGCAAUUUUCGUCUUGCCAUUACUCCACCUAGAGCUGCUUCACCGUUUCUGUUGUCCAAACCCUUCUUCUGUUCGUCUCUUUGAUAAUGAAAGUCCUGAUGCAGUUCUGAAAGAAUCCUUGCAUCUCUGGCAUCCUCCACCGACGCUUAGCCAUCUCUUCUUCGUGUCUGCCUCUGCUUCUUUGUUUUAAUACUGAACCUACUGUGGUUUCGAUUUUCACCAGCAUCUGUCUGAAUCAAAACCCCAACAACCUUCAACUCGAGAUGAUCGACGAAGCCACGACGUCUCCGGUAAGGAUGUUCUUCAACUGUGAAAUUUGAUUCAGUUUCUCUGCACCUCUGAUGACCUUCUUGUCUCUACUGUAAUUCCUGAAACAGAGCACAUUCACUUUUGUCUCUAUUUUUCUACAGCCUCCAAGACUUGAAAGCCACAUGUUCUGAAAUCUUUCAAUUUCUACGAUUCAGCAGUUCUCCCAUCGCUUCUACAUGUUCCAAACCUGGAACCCUUGAACUUCAAGCUCUUAACGAUGGCUCUCAUAGCUGAGCUCCACCAUGACCGGUGACUUCUCUUGUCUACAAGCCACCUCCUCUGCUCAACAUCUCUGGUACACGACCUCCCUUCGUUUCUCCAUUCAUCACUUGUUUUUUUUUUUUUUUUUUUUAAUUUGAGCCUCAAAACAUCGAUCUUCAUCUCAGCUUCCAUAGAUAAACUCCAACCUGAAUGACUGUUGUUUCUGGCGAUCUCACUGUCGUGUUCCUCCUUGCGACUCCCUUGUCGCCAUUACUUAGGUACUAUCAAGCUCCACUUUUUAUGAUAACACAUAAUGCUUUGAUUGAUACUGAUUUUCUGAUGCAGAAUUUUCCCAGUAACUGUUGCAUCUUCCUGCAUCAAUCUUUGAAGCUAAACCUCUGGUGCUCCUAGAUAACCUCAAAUUCUCAGUUACUGACGAUCUCAAACUCUUCCCAGCAUGAGCACCAAUCACGUGUUCUCCUCUUUGAUGAUCUUAAGUAAACCCUUCUUUGACCUGUUUCAUCUCCUAUGUGCCUCUCUGUUUUUUUUUUCUCUCCGAGAACCUUUAACUCGGAACUUCACACCGUUUUAGAUUUCCAAGAUGAGCUCCACCUGAAACCAGAAUCAACACUCCAGGACUUCUGAUUCUUAACGGUCACCUUAAACCUUGACUGCAAGAGCUCAGCCUCCUCCUUCGUCUUUAGGCAAUAUCCUUUACCUAUAAAUCAAUCAAACAGCCUCCUCCAUGACCAAUAUUACCUCAUGAGUCUGUAGAUUUCCCUUUGCAACUUGAUUUCUUUUAACCAAAUGCAAUAACCUCUCUGAAUCAUAUAUGUUUCAACCCGUGAAAUUGUCCCUGAUUCAACAUGCCUUCUUGUUUAACCCCCACAGCUUUGGACUUCUCUUUUGUACCGCUGUUAACAUAAACAGAACACGCCAUCAAGCUACCACCAUGCUAGAUAGACUUUCGAUACAAACCAUGAUCCAUGCUUCUUGUUAAACAAAACCUUACUAACAGUAUUAAACCUUGCUGCUAGAUUUCGUUUCUCUUAGCUUUACUUGAGCUCCCUUUUUGUGUUUUCAAAAAACCUUGCUUUACGGUUAAACAACCACAGCCUGAAUCCACCUUGUACCGCCAUCAUCCAUGAUGGAACACGCCUCCUAACCAGUCUUGUUGGGAAGACUUUCGACACAACUUUCCAUUCAGCUCUUCUUGUUUAACCAGAUUCUUCUGUAUUAGAUCUGCCUUGGACUCUUAUGUGUACCGCUGUUAUCACUUAACAAAACCCGCCAUCAAGCUAUCACCCUUGCUAGAUAGACUUUCGACACACCCUUAGUCCAAACAUCUCUUCGUACAGAACUUCACACAACCUCUCUGCUCUUCUUUAGCUCUUGAAACUCUGAUCCUUAUCCCUGAAACUUAACCCUCUUUGAAAAACUUUAUUAGACCUGAUCGUAUAUGAACUUCUCCUAAGUUCCCUGCCUGUUUUGCUUCAAGCAGACUCCUUGUUUCACCUCUAUACUCUUCUGCUAUAUCCUUUCCCUUGAAUCAAAAAUCUUAUCCUUGUUUUGAACGACUCUUUUUACUCAUGUAUCCUUUUAUAAGGCGUCCCUUAGAACAAGAUACGCAAGUCUUUGUAGCUGUUCAUUUAAUCCUCGAACACCAGACUGUUUUUAACAACCAGAACAAGCCAAAAUACAACCUGAUUUCACAGCAAAAAAUCUUGACUUUUCUAUUGUUAAAAAAAUAGUCUACUCCUGUGUAUUCUCCCAAAACUUAGAUUCCAUAUCCUUAACAGCCUCGAGUAGCCAGAAACUUGACCUCACAAUUACCUUGUGCCUGCAGCGGAAACUUGUCGCUAAAGUUUUCAACACGUACUUCUUUAAACCAUGCAUGCUUCCCUUUGAUCUUUUAACUUUUACCCUUCAAUGUGUCGAAUCCAUAAUCUCACUAACACCCGCAAUCAAAACCUGGAUUGCUCUGAUACCACUUGUUAGGAAUUAUCGAUCGUUUGAUUGCUUAAAUAAUUAACGACACAAGAUUUUUAACCCAGUUCCCUUGCGGUACCUCUGGAGUGGGAACCGUCUCCCACAACUUCCACUAUCAAUCAAAGGGGUUUACACAAACGCUCUAAGCGCUCUUCUCGUAUAAACAUGAUAUUAACAAAGAAUAAGAAGAUCAAAGAAACUCUAUCCCUUAGAGACAUGACUCGAACAAUGUCUCUUAGUUUCUUCUACUCUUGAUCUCUCUCUUAACUUCUCUUUGUCCUUGUGUUUUAGGUUUUCUCGGAUGAUCUUCUAAAGCUUUGACGUCUUCUUAUUUAUAUCAAACAUCACCGACUUGUGUUUGUAUAAUUUCCUUUUUCCAUUAGUCUAAUGACUUCUAAUGACUUCACGUCUUCUUGUAAUAAUGGAAACAUUCCCACAGAUUAAUCCACCUCCUUUGUUUGCUGGACAGAUUUGAUUGGGCUAGGAUGAGAGAAUUAAGGCCCAUUAGUACCACAUAAUAAUUAAGGUAUUACUCUUUUGGAUCGUGAUCGGUUUGGUUCUUCAGAUUUGAAUUUUUUAUCCAAUUUU